rnacentral:rRNA from 1 species
AAUGAACGCUGGCGGCGUGCCUAACACAUGCAAGUCGGAUGUGCCCGCAAGGGUGCAUGGCAGACGGGUGAGUAACGCGUGGGGAACCUACCUCUUUGUGGGGAAUAACGUUCCGAAAGGAAUGGUAAUACCGCAUGAGACCUUCGGCUGGGAUGCUGGAGGUGAAACCCGGGGACCGUAAGGCCUGGGGCAAGGAGAGGGUCCUGCGUCUGAUUAGCUAGUUGGCGGGGUAAUGGCCCACCAAGGCGACGAUCAGUAGCCGGCCUGAGAGGGUGAUCGGCCACACUGGAACUGAGGCACGGUCCAGACUCCUACGGGAGGCAGCAGUGGGGAAUUUUGCGCAAUGGACGAAAGUCUGACGCAGCAACGCCGCGUGGGUGAUGAAGGUCUUCGGAUUGUAAAACCCUGUCGUCAGGGACGAAGGUUGGGGCUUUAAUAGAGUUUCAACUUGACGGUACCUGGAGAGGAAGCCCCGGCUAACUCUGUGCCAGCAGCCGCGGUAAACA